AUCAAAGCAGUGCGCUCUGGCAGUGCGUUUGAAGGUGAAACGGAAUCCGAAGUCAUAUACUUAUCUAUAGUGAGAAUACCGUUAACCAAGGUAAGCAAUUUAUUACAAUUAAUUGAUCUUUGUUUAAUUGUAUUUUUAGAAAGCGUUCGUAACUCAGACAAAGCUAAAAGUUAAAGUAUUAAAUAGAGUGAGGCAAACACUCUCAUAGAUAGUCCAGUGACCGAGGUUUUUAGCAUGUUUAGAAGCAGGCGAUGUCUGAUUUUAAGUUUAAUUUAGG